rnacentral:rRNA from 1 species
UCAAGCAAGAAAGAGCACAGGGUGAAUGCCUUGGCACUGGGAGCCGAUGAAAGACGUGGUAAGCUGCGAAAAGCUUCGGGGAGGCGCAAACAGCCAUCGAUCCGGAGAUUUCUGAAUGGGGAAACCUACUUGAGCAAACCUCAAGUAUCCAUACGUGAAUCCAUAGCGUAUGGAAGGGAACGUUGUGAACUGAAACAUCUAAGUAGCAAUAGGAGGAGAAAGAAAAAUCGAUUUCCUAAGUAGCGGCGAGCGAAAGGGAAAGAGGCCAAACCGAAGGACCUGGUUCUUCGGGGUUGUGGACUGCAUCAAGCGAUGGAGGCUAUGGUAGUCGAACUGUUUUGGGAAAGCAGACCAAAGACGGUGAAAGUCCGGUAGACGAAACCAGAAGACCCGCUGCAGGAUCCAGAGUACCACGGGACACGAGAAACCCUGUGGGAAGCCGGGGGGACCACCCCCCAAGCCUAAAUACUCCCCAGUGACCGAUAGUGAAGCAGUACUGUGAAGGAAAGGUGAAAAGAACCCCGGGAGGGGAGUGAAAAAGAACCUGAAACCUUGUGCUUACAAACAGUCAGAGGUCUACGGACUGAUGGCGUACUUUUUGUAGAACGGUCCGGCGAGUUACUAAUGCCAGCGAGGUUAAGUGGUCAGAAGCCACGGAGCCGAAGGGAAACCAAGUCUGAACAGGGCGUAAAGUUAGUAUUAGUAGACCCGAAACCGGGUGACCUAUCCAUGUCCAGGUUGAAGGAGCCGUAAAAGGCUUUGGAGGACCGAACACACAUCUGUUGAAAAAGGUGGUGAUGAGGUGUGGAUAGCGGAGAAAUUCCAAUCGAACUCGGAGAUAGCUGGUUCUCCUCGAAAUAGCUUUAGGGCUAGCCUCGAGAUGGAGUCUAACGGAGGUAAAGCACUGAACUGACGCGGGGCCCAAAAAGGUUACCAACUCAUAUCAAACUAAGAAUGCCGUCAAGAUACCCUCGGGAGUCAGUCUGCGUGAGAUAAGUCGCGUGGACAAAAGGGAAAGAGCCCAGACCGACAGCUAAGGUCCCAAAGUACGUGUUAAGUGGAAAAGGAUGUGGGAUUUCAUAGACAACUAGGAUGUUGGCUUAGAAGCAGCCAUACAUUUAAAGAGUGCGUAACAGCUCACUAGUCGAGAAAACCUGCGCCGAAAAUUUAACGGGGCUAAAACACGACACCGAAGCUACGGCUUGACAGCUAACGCUGUUAGGGGUAGAGGAGCAUCCUGCAAGGACGAAGCCAAAGUGGAAACGAUGGUGGACGAAACAGGAGAGAGAAUGCCGGAAUGAGUAGCGAGAUAGAAGUAAGAAACUUCUAGGCCGAAUAUCUAAGGUUUCCUGGGUAAAGCUAAUCUUCCCAGGGUUAGUCGGGGCCUAAGGCGAGGACGAAAGUCGUAGUCGAUGGAUAACAGGUUGAUAUUCCUGUACUACGUAUCAUCAGAACUGUGGGGACGCAGGAGGAUAGGAAAACCGGGGAAUGGAAAAACCCGGCUAAGCACAAAGUCAAGGGAGAUAGGCAAAUCCGUCUCUUGAUGAUGAAGUGCGAUGGGGACUGAACAAAAGUAGGGAAGUUUCCGAAUCCACACUGUCGAGAAAAGCCGCUAUUGUGUGAUACGUACCCGUACCGUAAACCGACACAGGUAGAUGAGGAGAAAAUCCACAGGCCGACGGGAGAAGUGUUGUUAAGGAACUCGGCAAAAUGACCCCGUAACUUAGGGAGAAGGGGAGCCACGCAAGUGGCCGCAGAAAAGAGGCUCAAGCGACUGUUUAGCAAAAACACAGGUCUCUGCGAAACCGAAAGGUGAAGUAUAGGGGCUGACACCUGCCCGGUGCUGGAAGGUUAAAAGGAGAGGUUCGACGUAAGUCAAAGCUUUGAAUUCAAGCCCCAGUAAACGGCGGCCGUAACUAUAACGGUCCUAAGGUAGCGAAAUUCCUUGUCAGGUAAGUUCUGACCCGC